ACUAAGCGUACACGGUGGAUGCCCUGGCAGUCAGAGGCGAUGAAGGACGUGCUAAUCUGCGAUAAGCGUCGGUGAGGUGAUAUGAACCGUUAUAACCGGCGAUUUCCGAAUGGGGAAACCCAGUGUGWUUCGWCACACUAUCAUUAACUGAAUCCAUAGGUUAAUGAGGCGAACCGGGGGAACUGAAACAUCUAAGUACCCCGAGGAAAAGAAAUCAACCGAGAUUCCCCCAGUAGCGGCGAGCGAACGGGGAGGAGCCCAGAGCCUGAAUCAGUGUGUGUGUUAGUGGAAGCGUCUGGAAAGGCGCGCGAUACAGGGUGACAGCCCCGUACACAAAAAUGCACAUAYUGUGAGCUCGAUGAGUAGGGCGGGACACGUGGUAUCCUGUCUGAAUAUGGGGGGACCAUCCUCCAAGGCUAAAUACUCCUGACUGACCGAUAGUGAACCAGUACCGUGAGGGAAAGGCGAAAAGAACCCCGGCGAGGGGAGUGAAAAAGAACCUGAAACCGUGUACGUACAAGCAGUGGGAGCCUCUUAAUGGGGUGACUGCGUACCUUUUGUAUAAUGGGUCAGCGACUUAUAUUCUGUAGCAAGGUUAACCGAAUAGGGGAGCCGAAGGGAAACCGAGUCUUAACUGGGCGUUAAGUUGCAGGGUAUAGACCCGAAACCCGGUGAUCUAGCCAUGGGCAGGUUGAAGGUUGGGUAACACUAACUGGAGGACCGAACCGACUAAUGUUGAAAAAUUAGCGGAUGACUUGUGGCUGGGGGUGAAAGGCCAAUCAAACCGGGAGAUAGCUGGUUCUCCCCGAAAGCUAUUUAGGUAGCGCCUCGUGAAUUCAUCUCCGGGGGUAGAGCACUGUUUCGGCAAGGGGGUCAUCCCGACUUACCAACCCGAUGCAAACUGCGAAUACCGGAGAAUGUUAUCACGGGAGACACACGGCGGGUGCUAACGUCCGUCGUGAAGAGGGAAACAACCCAGACCGCCAGCUAAGGUCCCAAAGUCAUGGUUAAGUGGGAAACGAUGUGGGAAGGCCCAGACAGCCAGGAUGUUGGCUUAGAAGCAGCCAUCAUUUAAAGAAAGCGUAAUAGCUCACUGGUCGAGUCGGCCUGCGCGGAAGAUGUAACGGGGCUAAACCAUGCACCGAAGCUGCGGCAGCGACACUAUGUGUUGUUGGGUAGGGGAGCGUUCUGUAAGCCUGUGAAGGUGKMCUGUGAGGKWUGCUGGAGGUAUCAGAAGUGCGAAUGCUGACAUAAGUAACGAUAAAGCGGGUGAAAAGCCCGCUCGCCGGAAGACCAAGGGUUCCUGUCCAACGUUAAUCGGGGCAGGGUGAGUCGACCCCUAAGGCGAGGCCGAAAGGCGUAGUCGAUGGGAAACAGGUUAAUAUUCCUGUACUUGGUGUUACUGCGAAGGGGGGACGGAGAAGGCUAUGUUGGCCGGGCGACGGUUGUCCCGGUUUAAGCGUGUAGGCUGGUUUUCCAGGCAAAUCCGGAAAAUCAAGGCUGAGGCGUGAUGACGAGGCACUACGGUGCUGAAGCGACAAAUGCCCUGCUUCCAGGAAAAGCCUCUAAGCAUCAGGUAACAUCAAAUCGUACCCCAAACCGACACAGGUGGUCAGGUAGAGAAUACCAAGGCGCUUGAGAGAACUCGGGUGAAGGAACUAGGCAAAAUGGUGCCGUAACUUCGGGAGAAGGCACGCUGAUAUGUAGGUGAAGCGACUUGCUCGUGGAGCUGAAAUCAGUCGAAGAUACCAGCUGGCUGCAACUGUUUAUUAAAAACACAGCACUGUGCAAACACGAAAGUGGACGUAUACGGUGUGACGCCUGCCCGGUGCCGGAAGGUUAAUUGAUGGGGUUAGCGGUAACGCGAAGCUCUUGAUCGAAGCCCCGGUAAACGGCGGCCGUAACUAUAACGGUCCUAAGGUAGCGAAAUUCCUUGUCGGGUAAGUUCCGACCUGCACGAAUGGCGUAAUGAUGGCCAGGCUGUCUCCACCCGAGACUCAGUGAAAUUGAACUCGCUGUGAAGAUGCAGUGUACCCGCGGCAAGACGGAAAGACCCCGUGAACCUUUACUAUAGCUUGACACUGAACAUUGAGCCUUGAUGUGUAGGAUAGGUGGGAGGCUUUGAAGUGUGGACGCCAGUCUGCAUGGAGCCGACCUUGAAAUACCACCCUUUAAUGUUUGAUGUUCUAACGUGGGCCCCUUACCGGGGUUGCGGACAGUGUCUGGUGGGUAGUUUGACUGGGGCGGUCUCCUCCUAAAGAGUAACGGAGGAGCACGAAGGUUGGCUAAUCCUGGUCGGACAUCAGGAGGUUAGUGCAAUGGCAUAAGCCAGCUUGACUGCGAGCGUGACGGCGCGAGCAGGUGCGAAAGCAGGUCAUAGUGAUCCGGUGGUUCUGAAUGGAAGGGCCAUCGCUCAACGGAUAAAAGGUACUCCGGGGAUAACAGGCUGAUACCGCCCAAGAGUUCAUAUCGACGGCGGUGUUUGGCACCUCGAUGUCGGCUCAUCACAUCCUGGGGCUGAAGUAGGUCCCAAGGGUAUGGCUGUUCGCCAUUUAAAGUGGUACGCGAGCUGGGUUUAGAACGUCGUGAGACAGUUCGGUCCCUAUCUGCCGUGGGCGCUGGAGAACUGAGGGGGGCUGCUCCUAGUACGAGAGGACCGGAGUGGACGCAUCACUGGUGUUCGGGUUGUCAUGCCAAUGGCACUGCCCGGUAGCUAAAUGCGGAAGAGAUAAGUGCUGAAAGCAUCUAAGCACGAAACUUGCCCCGAGAUGAGUUCUCCCUGACUCCUUGAGAGUCCUGAAGGAACGUUGAAGACGACGACGUUGAUAGGCCGGGUGUGUAAGCGCAGCGAUGCGUUGAGCUAACCGGUACUAAUGAACCGUGAGGCUUAACC
rnacentral:rRNA from 1 species